rnacentral:rRNA from 1 species
GAGUGGCGCACGGGUGAGUAAUAUAUGGGAACGUGCCUAUAAGUGGGGGAUAACUACGGGAAACUGUAGCUAAUACCGCAUUAACUGGUGACAGUAAAGGUGGCCUCUGCUUGCAAGCUACCGCUUAUAGAUCGGCCCAUAUCCCAUUAGCUAGUUGGCGGGGUAAAGGCCCACCAAGGCUACGAUGGGUAGCUGGUCUGAGAGGACGAUCAGCCACACUGGAACUGAGACACGGUCCAGACUCCUACGGGAGGCAGCAGUGGGGAAUUUUGCACAAUGGACGAAAGUCUGAUGCAGCAACGCCGCGUGAGUGAAGAAGGCCUUUGGGUUGUAAAGCUCUUUCGGCUGGGAAAAAGGGUUUCACGGUAAAUAAUCGUGAGAUUUGAUGGUACCAGAAGAAGAAGCACCUGCUAACUUCGUGCCAGCAGCAGCGGUAAUACGAAGGGUGCAAGCGUUGUUCGGAAUUAUUGGGCGUAAAGCGCUCGUAGGCGGGUUGGUAAGUUGGUUGUGAAAUCCCUGGGCUUAACCCGGGAACUGCAAUCAAAACUGCCGAUCUUGAAUGCUUGAGAGGGUGGUGGAAUUCCAGGUGUAGAAGUGAAAUUCGUAGAUAUCUGGAGGAACACCGGAGGCGAAGGCGGCCACCUGGCAAGACAUUGACGCUGAGGAGCGAAAGCGUGGGGAGCAAACAGGAUUAGAUACCCUGGUAGUCCACGCCUUAAACGAUGGAUACUAGAUG